ACUGAAUCAGUGGUGGAAUGUAAAAAAAGGUCCAAUAACUCAAAUACUGUACUGAAGGACGGUUUAGAUGCACUCAUGCUGCUUCAGGUCAGUAUAGAGCUAAAAUAGAAAGAGCUGAUUCAUCGAUCUGUUGAUUAAUCGAUUUGUUGAUCACAGUUAACUGCUAUUUAUUAAUAACAAUACACUGCCACACUGCUUAUAAUCACACGGUUUAUACUGUAUUAUGUAUAUACACAAGUCUGUUUCUAUUUCUGACCCUUUUAUUGUAUUGUUUAUUUUGUUGUAUUAUUAAUGUUAACUAUGUACCUUAACUGUCCUUUGCCUGCUGUGACACACACAUUUCCCCGUUUGCAGGACUAAUACAGGAAUUCGGAUUAUCUUAAAGAAAAAAAGAAAAGAAGGGGCAUUAUUGUACUUGCACUAGUGUAAUUCAUUAGUGUACACUAUUCAUGAGUCCAAGAGAUGCGAUCAUGAGCUUGUGGACACCGAAAACAAGAACAACAUCUGGAUGCAAUAUCAUUACUGCUUGUUAUAAUUCUAAAUGAUAAAGUUCCUAGAGGGGCGCGCUAUGAAGUUGGAGAAGAAGAACCUGAAUACUUCUACUACCAUCCCUGAACUGAAUACAGAAUAUAACACCAGAGCUGCUCCUGGAUUUGAAACGCUUUUCUCAAAUACCUUCUGAGUCUGGAGAACUUUAAUAUUCUCAAAUUGACACACAUGAUCCAAGACACACACAUCUGCUGCCCUCUUCUAUUGUAGGUGCAUUCAUGUGGGUCCGCAUACACAAAUACAUAAAACGCAGACAUAAAAGCAAGUUUUUAAUUAGUGUCUGGUUUGUUCCCUCUGGGGAUUUGUGGGUUUUUCGCCUCCCGGUGGGAACUUGACCCAACUCGGUCACCCAUUUGACUUUUAUUUCAUCUAAUUGCUUUCAUGCUCAAGUCAUACACCACAUGCCAACACUUACUGUACACUGUGCAAAUAUAAACAGACGGUCCUGCAUAUCAUGGCUUCGGAGAGUUUUCUGCUGCAGUCGUACAUGAAUCCCCUGAAUAGUGGUGAAAGCAUAGCAGGCAUGCUCUGCAGAGAGUGGAGUCUAAAUGUAAUAACACACACACAGGGCAACUCUUAUGUACGGCAGCCAGACAGCUGGCUCCUCAUUCAGCUUGGAGCCAAUUGCAGCAUGGCUCAUAAAACAAGCUCAAUGACCACGAUGAAUGUUUUUACAUAUUAUUUGCGUUACAAUCUGAAACGAUUUCACUUAAGUUUACAUUUCUAAAACACAAACUACAUGCAACCAUCAGUGAGGAGAGUGAGGUUCAGAGCUGCAGGAGUCCAACAAUAGAUUGUAACUAAAUAUUCCUGUAACCCUCGAUGCUGGGAGGAGGAAUAAUAGCUGAGGAGGGCUGUUUCUCACAAGGACACCGUAAUAACUCAGAGCAGUGUCUGAAAAUGUGUUCUUACUCACUACAGGUUCAGUUUUCACUAUGAUAAAGUGGAUUCUUGUGACCAAUCUAAAAACUAACUCCACAUACUCUCAUACCAUUUCUCCAUAGUUUGGUUCUUUCACUUCCUCCUUCAUUUCUUGUUAAAGCAUAGACGUCACUGUAAAUGUCAACAGCUCGGAGUCCCAAACCAAGCUGACACAAGCAUAACCACGACAUGUCUCUCCGAGAAUACAUUCUGUGCCAUAAGCAGGAACAGCGAACUGCUCUCUGCACAGCCAGACAAUAGUUGUCUACAUUUAGAGCAGGUGGAGUCUGGCACAGCAUUCUCACGACCAGACUGAGCGUCUGAGACGUUGCUCAUCGCAGCCCGUCUGGCCAGUGGGUGGUGACUGUCCAUCUGUAAUGUAGUAAACAAUCUCAGAUGGGA